UAGCUCAGUCAGUUGAGCGUGGCGCUAACAACGCCAAGGUUGCGGGUUCGAUUCCCGU
rnacentral:tRNA from 1 species